UACGUAGGGUGCAAGCGUUAUCCGGAAUUAUUGGGCGUAGAGAGCUCGUAGGCGGUUUGUCGCGUCUGCUGUGAAAACUGGGGGCUCAACCCCCAGCCUGCAGUGGGUACGGGCAGACUAGAGUGCGGUAGGGGAGAUUGGAAUUCCUGGUGUAGCGGUGGAAUGCGCAGAUAUCAGGAGGGACACCGAUGGCGAAGGCAGAUCUCUGGGCCGUAACUGACGCUGAGGAGCGAAAGCGUGGGGAGCGAACAGG
rnacentral:rRNA from 1 species